GAUGAACGCUGGCGGCGUGCCUAAUACAUGCAAGUCGAGCGAACAGACGAGGAGCUUGCUCCUCUGACGUUAGCGGCGGACGGGUGAGUAACACGUGGAUAACCUACCUAUAAGACUGGGAUAACUUCGGGAAACCGGAGCUAAUACCGGAUAACAUGUUGAACCGCAUGGUUCAACAGUGAAAGACGGUCUUGCUGUCACUUAUAGAUGGAUCCGCGCCGCAUUAGCUAGUUGGUAAGGUAACGGCUUACCAAGGCAACGAUGCGUAGCCGACCUGAGAGGGUGAUCGGCCACACUGGAACUGAGACACGGUCCAGACUCAUACGGGAGGCAGCAGUAGGGAAUCUUCCGCAAUGGGCGAAAGCCUGACGGAGCAACGCCGCGUGAGUGAAGAAGGUCUUCGGAUCGUAAAACUCUGUUAUUAGGGAAGAACAAAUGUGUAAGUAACUAUGCACGUCUUGACGGUACCUAAUCAGAAAGCCACGGCUAACUACGUG
rnacentral:rRNA from 1 species